rnacentral:rRNA from 1 species
GACGAACGCUGGCGGCGUGCCUAAUACAUGCAAGUAGAACGCUGAAGAGAGGAGCUUGCUCUUCUUGGAUGAGUUGCGAACGGGUGAGUAACGCGUAGGUAACCUGCCUGGUAGCGGGGGAUAACUAUUGGAAACGAUAGCUAAUACCGCAUAAAAUGGAUUAUCGCAUGAUAAUCCAUUGAAAGGUGCAAAUGCAUCACUACCAGAUGGACCUGCGUUGUAUUAGCUAGUUGGUGGGGUAACGGCUCACCAAGGCGACGAUACAUAGCCGACCUGAGAGGGUGAUCGGCCACACUGGGACUGAGACACGGCCCAGACUCCUACGGGAGGCAGCAGUAGGGAAUCUUCGGCAAUGGACGGAAGUCUGGCCGAGCAACGCCGCGUGAGUGAAGAAGGUUUUCGGAUCGUAAAGCUCUGUUGUAAGAGAAGAACGAGUGUGGGAGUGGAAAGUUCACACUGUGACGGUAUCUUACCAGAAAGGGACGGCUAACUACGUG